AGACAUUGAUUUUCCAGUGCUACAGGAUUUCCAGUGACACAUGACCGACUGGCUGGCAGGUGGCUUUUAGUUUCAGGUCUUGGAGACACAC
rnacentral:snoRNA from 1 species